rnacentral:tRNA from 1 species
GAGGGUAUAGCUCAGUGGUAGAACACAUGCUCAGCACGCACGAGGUCCUGAGUUCAAUCCCCAGUGCCUCCA